rnacentral:tRNA from 1 species
GCGCCCGUAGCUCAAUUGGAUAGAGCACCAGCCUUCUAAGCUGGGGGUUACAGGUUCGACUCCUGUCGGGCGCGCCA